rnacentral:rRNA from 1 species
GACGAACGCUGGCGGCGUGCUUAACACAUGCAAGUCGAACGGAAAGGCCCAGCUUUUUGGGGCUUCGGGGGCGGGGAGCGGGCGGGUAACUCGUGCAUAACCUCCCAUUGAGUUUGGGAUAAUUUCUGUAAAAUGGGGCAACUACUGCAGAGGACGCCCUGCGGCGGGGUGGGGGUGGGCAUAUUACGGCGGUUGGGGAUGGCGUCGGGGCUUACAUGCUGUUGGGGGGGGGGUAGGCUCACCAAGGCUUGGACGGGUAGCCGGCCUGAGAGGGGGACCGGCGACAUUGGGACUGAGAUACGGCCCAGACUCCUACGGGAGGCAGCAGUGGGGAGUAUUGCACAAUGGGCGGAAGCCUGAUGCAGCAACGCCGGGUGCGGGAUGACGGCCUUCGGGUUGUAAACCGCUUUCGCCUGUGACGAAGCGUGAGUGACGGUAAUGGGUAAAGAAGCACCGGCUAACUACGUG